rnacentral:lncRNA from 1 species
GUUUGAUUGGGAAUGAUUCAGGGAGGGUGUUUCAUUAGCAGCUUAGAAAUGGCAACACGUCAUUUGUACUAAACAGCACUAUUUUGUUUCCCCCUCUGAACAAGUUUGGGAAACCCCUCGAGCAAAAUUUUGCUGAAACCCUUUAUACACAGUGGUCCCAACUUGUCCAGAAAGUCCCAACUGGAUUACACUGAUGUGAUCAACUCAGUCCUUAUGGGCGUCACUGCCAGCAGAGAUAUUGCACCCUCCCCUGCCCUGGGAGGACCGAUAGCCAAAACAGCUCUGAGGGAGAUGCCAAUUACCAAUUAAACUCCCUUUUAUCUUCCUGAGAAGUCAGAAGCUGGAGGCCUUGGCUGCUGCUUUGACUCCUGGUUUCCUCUGAGUUUUUCCACUGGGUGCUUGCAGCUUUUUUUAAGUUCCCAUUUGCUCCAGAAGCAGAGUGUCAAAUGCAGCACUGCCUGCAGCAGAGACAUGCACUCGGCUAUGGCAGAGCUGUAGAGAGCAAGCCUGAGGACAUCUGGAUGGGAAGGCUUGGAUCGUCUUUAACCUGGAAUCAUAUCUGUAACGUGGAGACUGUUCAAGUUUUAUUUUAUACUUGAACUCAAAUCCUUGCCCAUCUCUCUGGAGAUGGCAGCAUUGAAGAGUAUGAGGAGGACUGAAACACCCUGUGUGGGGUUGUCUCUCUGAGAGAAGAUCUGCACGCACAAGAAAACAGCUCAAUAUGUGUGAAGAUGUAGCCACACUGACCUGCUGUGGACUGCGUCCAACUAACUUCCAGCCAGCUGUGUCAGGUCCUCCUGCUGCAGCGUGGCAGAGAGACUACUCUGCAGCUCCCAGCUGAGCUCCCCAGGGUUCAGAAAACCUCACACACCACACUGAAGCUACAGCUACAUGCAGCACCUGGAAAAGCAAAGGAAUAACAAAGGCAAAUCAAGAAAACCUGUGAAGGGAGCCUACCUACAUGAAAAUUUGUAAGUUAUGUAAAUCUUUAGUUCUCAGGGGAGAAUUGAAGCACAGCAAAAAAGGCCACCGUAUCAGAGAAUGAGAAUGCUCUCCUGACUUCCCUCUCCAUCUCUGUGUAUUCCAGGUGUAUUCGUGGGGGACCUGGGCAAAACUAGUUUUUCCUUCUCUCUCAAAGGCCAUUUAACCUGCCUCUCCUCCCAGUCUCUUCAGGGUGUAGCAGGCUAGUGGCAGCUGCAUCCUAGCUUUACCUGGGAGCAACUGGAAUUACCAUGAGAACAGAAUUGCUCACGGUGCGUGGCCAAAUUCACUCUUGGGCAAGAUGUGAUUUGUUAUGAUCAAAAAUGUCAACAACAGGAUCUGAAGGUGCUAAUUAGUCUCCUUGGCAUCCUCCCCACACCUGGUAUUUUAGGGCUAUUCGACAAUGCAAACUUACACAAAAUUAUCAACUUUGGGUUAAAUUCAUCCCUUUUAUUGUAUUUCUAACUUGAAAUAGUGUAAUUCGCUGUUCAAAAGCUCAUUUAUGUAAAACUCUAAACUUUAUUAGUUAAACUAAACUGAUUAAACUUAUUACCACUAGGGAUAAUUUUAAAGAGGCACAUUCCAAACCAUUGAAAAAGAAGAUAUAACACUUAAAUA